UACGAAGGGUGCAAGCGUUGCUCGGAAUUAUUGGGCGUAAAGCGCACGUAGGCGGCUAUCUAAGUCGGAUGUGAGAUCCCUCGGCUUAACCAAGGAAGUGCACCCGAAACUGGAUAGCUUGAGUACAGAAGAGGAUCGCGGAAUUCCCGGUGUAGAGGUGAAAUUCGUAGAUAUCGGGAGGAACACCGGUGGCGAAGGCGGGUCUCUGGGCCGUAACUGACGCUGAGGAGCGAAAGCAUGGGGAGCGAACAGG
rnacentral:rRNA from 1 species